GGAGCUUGGAAGGGGCACAGAGUGGUGGGUUGAGGACAGACUGGAUAGGGUGUUAGCGUCUUCCUCUUGGAUGGAGAUGUUUCCUGCAGCAAAGGUUUUAAACCUUGAUGCUACCACAUCAGAUCAUUCAGCGCUGUUACUAAAAUUAAGAGAAGUGGGGAUGCCGCGGUUGAGUAGGAAAUUCAAGUUUGAGAAUGUUUGGUUGAAGGAAGGACAAUGUAGAGUGAUGAGACGAAUUUGGGUGAAUUCAAGUCAAAGGCCGCUAAUAGAAAAAUUACAGAGGUAUGCUAUAGACAUUCAACGAUGGG
rnacentral:misc_RNA from 1 species